rnacentral:snRNA from 1 species
AUGCUCACUUUGGCAGCACAUACACUGAAACUGGAAUGAUAAAGAUCAGCAUGGCCCCUGCACAAGGAUGACACGCAAAUUUGUGAAGCGUUCCAUAUUCUU